AUUGAACGCUGGCGGCAGGCUUAACACAUGCAAGUCGAGCGGUAACAGAGAGAAGCUUGCUUCUCUGCUGAUGAGCGGCGGACGGGUGAGUAAUGCCUAGGAAUCUGCCUAGUAGUGGGGGAUAACUUGCCGAAAGGUAAGCUAAUACCGCAUACGUCCUACGGGAGAAAGGAGGGGACCUUCGGGCCUUACGCUAUUAGAUGAGCCUAGGUCGGAUUAGUUAGUUGGUGAGGUAAUGGCUCACCAAGACCGCGAUCCGUAACUGGUCUGGGAGGAGUAUCAGUUACACUGGAACGGAGAGACGGUCCAGAGUCCUACGGGAGGCAGCAGUGGGGAAUAUUGGACAAUGGGGGGAACCCUGAUCCAGCCAUGCCGCGUGUGUGAAGAAGGUCUUGGGAUUGUAAAGCACUUUAAGUUGGGAGGAAGAGCAGUUAACUAAUAUUUGACUGUUUUGACGUUACCGACAGAAUAAGCACCGGCUAACUUCGUGCCAGCCGCCGCCGUAA
rnacentral:rRNA from 1 species